rnacentral:rRNA from 1 species
UACGGAGGGUGCGAGCGUUGUCCGGAAUCAUUGGGCGUAAAGGGCGCGUAGGUGGCCCGGUCAGUUCGUGGUGAAAGCGCGGGGCUCAACUCCGCGUCGGCCAUGAAUACUGCUGGGCUUGAGCACUGUAGAGGCAGGCGGAAUUCCGGGUGUAGCGAUGGAAUGCGUAGAGAUCCGGAAGAACACCGGUGGCGAAGGCGGCCUGCUGGGCAGUAGCUGACACUGAGGCGCGACAGCGUGGGGAGCAAACAGG